GACUCCAUUGUGUUGGGUUUUUUUUUUAAUUAUAAUUUAUAAUAAGUUAUAACGUUUAUAUAGCGUACGAAUAUGUAGUGUAUACUGUAGGUAUACAUUUCACAAAAAUUAAUUAUGGUGCUACGUUGUUACAUAUGUCAUAAGAGUGCCAAUAUUAAUCUCCAUCUAUCAUUUCAUAAAUUUCCCAAAGAUUUAACCAAAUUAUUGAAAUGGAAAGAAUUUGUUAAAAUUGAUCGCAUAACUGAGUGGCAAAGAGUUUGUUCUGACCAUUUUGAUCCUAGUAGCUUUAACUGAGGAAUAUAAAAUUCUUAAAAAAAGAUGCUGUUCCAACAAUUUUAAAAAAGUCAUUGAAUAUUACUAAAAAAACAAGUGCAUCAAUUCAUAUUUCUAUUAAUGAAAAUUUUAAUGACUUAUCAGUUUCUCCGAUCAAAACCCACAAGUCCUUUAAAUAAUACUGUGGUGAGUAUACUUAAACAAAUGAAUAUUUCAAAUAAUUGUAUUACAUUUGGUGAUUCAAGUACAGUAAAUUCACCAUCAAAUGAGAGUUGCUUCAAUACAUACAUAUAAUGUGAUGAAUGUAAACUAAGCUUAAUUUCAUCUACUCACAAGAAUAGUUUGACAGAAAUUAAGAAUCGCGGUAAUUUCACAAAACCAAGUCCUAAUGUUGAGAUAA